AGAGAGAGGUGACCAGUGGUGGUGAGAGAGACGGUGGCGAAAGGGGGACUCCACCUUCAGACUCGUGUGUGUGUGAGGAGAGUGUUACAGAGAAAGGAGAUGUGUGUUACAUGAAUCGUGUGUGUGUGUGUGUGUUUGAGACAGUGAGGGAGAUGAAGGGAAUGAUACAGAGAGGAAGAGAUCGAGAAGAAGGAAAAUAAAAAGAUGAAUUCUUGGCCAUUGGAUUACAAAUAAUCAAUGGUCAGAAAUAUUAAUCCAAAUUUUGAAGAAUGGACCAAUAAAAACGAAGGAGGAAGCUCACAAAAGAGUGAUUUUUAGCCUUUGGAUCAAAACUAAUCAAAGACCCAAAAUAAAACUAAUAAGAAUUUAUGUUCAUUUAUCUAUAAUCAUCUUUUUGUGUUGUUUUUUAUUUAAUGAUUUUAUUUUUAUUUUUGAAUUGUAUAAUGUAAAUUUGAAAUAUUAUACAUAGUCUGAGAUAUAUAUUAUAAAAAUUAUAUUUUAUUUAAAGUUUGAGGUUUAAUGUUCUUAUGAUAUAUGUUAAAGUAUGUGGUUUAGGGAUUAUAUUGUUAGGGUUUGAUUGGAGAUUUAAGGCUUGUAUUUUGAAAGUUAUAUAUUAAUAUUAAAAAGAGUAAAUUUCGAGUUUAUGUUUAAGAUCUAAAGUUAUAGUAUGAGAAUAUUAGAGUUUUAAGUUGUGUUUUAUAGUUUAGGGAUUAAAAACUUGUUUAGGGUUUAGGGAUUCAAAAAGCUAAAUAUAGCAUUUCAUUAUAUUAUGCUAUUAAAAAUAGGUUAUCAUAGCGUUUCCGAAUAUAUCAUUCUAUCAUAGCGUUUUCAAAUAUACAAACGCUAUCUAAAAUUAAGGGGUAUAUUAACCGUAGCAGAAAGACAAAAAACGCUAUACUCUAGUGCUAUGA
rnacentral:lncRNA from 1 species